rnacentral:rRNA from 1 species
UACAGAGGUCUCAAGCGUUGUUCGGAUUCAUUGGGCGUAAAGGGUGUGUAGGUGGCGCCGUAAGUCGGGUGUGAAAUUUCGGAGCUUAACUCCGAAACUGCAUUCGAUACUGCGGUGCUUGAGGACUGGAGAGGAGACCGGAAUUCAUGGUGUAGCAGUGAAAUGCGUAGAGAUCAUGAGGAAGACCAGUGGCGAAGGCGGGUCUCUGGACAGUUCCUGACACUGAGACACGAAGGCCAGGGGAGCAAACGGG